UACGAAGGGUGCAAGCGUUACUCGGAAUUACUGGGCGUAAAGGGUGCGUAGGUGGUUUGUUAAGUCUGCUGUGAAAUCCCCGGGCUCAACCUGGGAAUGGCAGUGGAUACUGGCAAGCUAGAGUGCGGUAGAGGGUAGUGGAAUUCCCGGUGUAGCAGUGAAAUGCGUAGAGAUCGGGAGGAACACCAGUGGCGAAGGCGGUUGCCUGGGGCUUUGCUGACGCUGAUGCGCGAAAGCGUGGGGAGCGAUCCGG
rnacentral:rRNA from 1 species